rnacentral:rRNA from 1 species
CCUACGGGAGGCAGCAGUGAGGAAUAUUGGUCAAUGGACGAGAGUCUGAACCAGCCAUGUCGCGUGAAGGAUGACUGCUCUAUGGGUUGUAAACUUCUUUUAUAUGGGAAUAAAAUGUUCCACGUGUGUGAUUUUGUAUGUACCAUAUGAAUAAGGAUCGGCUAACUCCGUGCCAGCAGCCGCGGUAAUACGGAGGAUCCGAGCGUUAUCCGGAUUUAUUGGGUGUAAAGGGAGCGUAGGUGGAGUGAUAAGUCAGUUGUGAAAGUUUGCGGCUCAACUGUAAAAUUGCAGUUGAAACUGGCAGUCUUGAGUACAGUAGAGGUAGGUGGAAUUCGUGGUGUAGCGGUAAAAUGCGUAGAGAUCAAGAAGAACUCUGAUUGCGAAGGCAGCUCACUGGACUGCAACUGACACUGAGGCUCGAAAGUGUGGGUAUCAAACAGGAUUAGAUACCCCAGUAGUC